rnacentral:rRNA from 1 species
UGAGUACGAGACGCUAAGGCGUCGAAGUAGUGGAUGUCAUACUUCCAAGAAAAGCUUGCACUGUCAUAAGUAAAAAACGCCUGUACCAUAACCGACACAGGUGGGUAGGUAGAGUAUACUAAGGGGCGCGAGAUAACUCUCUCUAAGGAACUCGGCAAAAUAACUCCGUAACUUCGGGAGAAGGAGUGCCUUAUUCGUAAGGCUGCAAUAACAAGAUCCAAGCAACUGUUUAUCAAAAACACAGGUCUCCGCUAAGUCGUAAGACGAUGUAUGGGGGCUGACGCCUGCCCAGUGCCAGAAGGUUAAAGAAGUCGGUUAGCAUUAGCGAAGCUGGUAACUGAAGCCCUGGUGAACGGCGGCCGUAACUAUAACGGUCCUAAGGUAGCGAAAUUCCUUGUCGGGUAAGUUCCGACCCGCACGAAAGGCGUAAUGAUUUGGAUACUGUCUCGGAGAGGGGCUCGGUGAAAUAGACUUGUCUGUGAAGAUGCGGACUACCUGCACCAGGACAGAAAGACCCUAUGAAGCUUUACUGUAACUUGAAAUUGAAAUUGGACUUUAUUCGCGCAGUAUAGGUGGGAGGUGUUGAUUAUAAUCUUGCGGGAUUAUUGGAGCCAUCAGUGAGAUACCACUCUUGUAAUGUUAGAUUUCUAACUUUGAAUCAUUAUCUGGUCAAAGAACAGUUUCAGGCGGGCAGUUUGACUGGGGCGGUCGCCUCCUAAAUGGUAACGGAGGCGUACAAAGGUUUCCUCUGAACGGGUAGAAAUCGUAUCUAGAGUGUAAAGGCAUAAGGAAGCUCGACUGUGAGACCUACAAGUCGAGCAGGGACGAAAGUCGGUCUUAGUGAUCUGACGGUACUGAGUGGAAAGGCCGUCACUCAACGGAUAAAAGUUACUCUAGGAUAACAGGCUGAUCUCCCCCAAGAGUUCACAUCGACGGGGAGGUUUGGCACCUCGAUGUCGGCUCAUCGCAUCCUGGGGCGGUAGUACGUCCCAAGGGUUGGGCUGUUCGCCCAUGAAAGCGGUACGCGAGCUGGGUUCAGAACGUCGUGAGACAGUUCGGUCCAUAUCCGGUGUAGGCGUUAGAAUAUUGAGAGGAGCCUUCUUUAGUACGAGAGGACCGAGAAGGACAUACCUCUGGUGUACCAGUUAUCGUGCCAACGGUAAACGCUGGGUAGCUAUGUAUGGAGUGGAUAACCGCUGAAAGCAUCUAAGUGGGAAGCCCACCUCAAGAUAAGUA